AUAUCUCUCUGUACGGGAAGGAUGAGAAGCUUCUACCAGGGUUCGAUUCGAGCGCAGCGAGAAAGCGUUGC
rnacentral:sRNA from 5 species